rnacentral:lncRNA from 1 species
AGGCAGCGCUGCCUUCUCCAUCAUCCUGACCCCAGAGGACAAUUACCAGGAGGAGAAACUCCUCACCCUGCCCAGCCCCCACCACACACUCACCUGCUCACCUCAUGCCUGGGUCCAGGGUGGGUGAGGGUGAAGAACCCACCCAGUCAAGAUGAUCCCUUCUAUGGGGACCGCUGCUGGUGUCCUGCCCCAGAUCCUGGGCCCCAGCAGUUGGGAGAGUGGCCCCCAGCUGAGCCCUAUCAGACUGCUGCAGAGGAGGUGAAGAGGGGUUGAGAAGAGGCGCCCAUCCUGGAGUCUGGAGCUACUUGCCUUCACUCGCGUACACUCUUGACUGUUUUAGGAAAGAAGGACCUGGUGGUGGCCUUUGCA